rnacentral:lncRNA from 1 species
GGCCUGUAGAGAUUUCUCCUCCCAUCACCUCUACAAGCUACUCAGGACAAACAACACAGCUCUACAAUCUAGAUGCAGGCCUCUGCCCUGUGAACCAGAGCCUCUCCUGGGAGCUUGAAGUCCAGGCUCCUGGGUGCCUGUCAGUGGUCACCGACAGCACUUGCCUUGCUGCUCAUCUGAAGCCCUGGGUGCUCGUGGCAGGGUGACAACUGGGCUCCAUACUGGGGACAUUGCAGCAAAUCUAAAAACAAUCAUAAACUAAAAUUCAGUCUGUUUUUU